AAGGCUUUUAAUAGUAUUGCUAACCCUUUGAGUUCUUUCUUCUUUGUAUGCAUUUUGCUUCUCUUGGCAAAUGCAGCAUCUGCGAAAAUUCACAACCAUAAUUUUGUUGUAAGCUAUCCAAUAUUUCCCUUCUUUGUUUGCUAACAUGUCGUAAAUGUUACAAACACUUGUGAUGUUGACCUCUGUUUUGUUGUAACAGAUUCAAGCAACACCAGUGAAGAGGCUGUGCAAAACUCACAACACCAUAACGGUGAACGGACAAUUCCCUGGACCAACAUUAGAAGUAAACAACGGGGAUACUCUAGUUGUCAACGUUGUAAAUAAAGCUCGAUAUAAUGUCACGAUUCACUGGUAAAUUCAUGCAUGCAGAACUCAAAUGAACUGAUAUAUGUUACUCAAUAAAAUAGACGCGAUUAUAUGUAAUGAUAUUUUUCUUAACAUUUUUAUACUACUUUGUUGUGUAUCAAUAGGCAUGGGGUAAGGCAAAUGAGAACAGGAUGGGCGGAUGGACCAGAAUUUGUUACACAAUGCCCAAUUAGACCAGGAAAGAGUUACACUUACCGGUUUACAAUUCAAGGACAGGAAGGGACUCUAUGGUGGCACGCUCACAGCUCAUGGCUCAGGGCUACGGUUUAUGGAGCUCUAAUUAUCCAUCCGAAAGAAGGAGAAUCCUAUCCAUUUGCUAAGCCGAAAAGAGAAACACCAAUUAUGCUUGGUACUACUUCUAUCUUCUCUUCAAUACCAAAAGCUUUGAUCAUUUCUGAAAACGAAUAGUACUAGUUAUGCAUUUUCUCAUAUAUUCUGUUUCUUAGAAAUUUCGUUGAAAUGAUAGUUUGACGAUGAUGGUUAGGUGAGUGGUGGGAUGCAAACCCUAUGGACGUUAUAAGACGAGCUACAAGAACAGGAGCAGCUCCUAAUGUAUCUGAUGCAUACACCAUCAAUGGUCAACCAGGUGAUCUCUACAAGUGUUCCAGCCAAGGUUAGUUCUAAUCUCAACUAAUGGAAGCAAGUUUACACAUAGUAUAAAGGCUAAAUUCCACCAAACCAUGUUACACUAACGUUCGUCAAACUAUGAUUUGAUAUCUUACCUGUUCAGGACAUGUUUUCAUAGAUAUGAUUUUUUGUUGCAGAUACCACCAUAGUCCCUGUGGACUCGGGCGAAACCAACCUCCUCCGAGUUAUCAACGCUGCACUCAACCAACAACUUUUCUUUUCCGUGGCCAACCACAAACUUACUGUUGUUGGAGCAGAUGCCUCUUAUGUUAAGCCCUUCACUACAUCAGUCCUUAUGCUCGGACCAGGCCAGACAACUGAUGUCCUAAUCACAGCUGAUCAGCAACCAGCUAGAUAUUACAUGGCAGCACGUGCCUACGCAAGCGCUCAAGGCAACCCCUUUGAUAAUACCACAACCACAGCAAUCCUUGAGUACAAGACAGCUUCUUGUUCUUCCAAUUGUGUCAAGACUAAUCCAGUUUCCCCAUCUUUACCAGCAUUUAACGACACAGCCACAGCUACAGCCUUCACAACCAAAUUCAGAAGCCCAAGAAAGGUCGAGGUACCCACUGAAAUCGACGAAAAUCUAUUCUUCACAGUCGGGCUAGGACUCAACAACUGCCCAAGAGGCGCUCGCUCCAGAAACUGUCAAGGUCCGAAUGGAACUCGAUUCACAGCCAGUAUGAACAAUGUAUCUUUUGUUCUACCAUCCAACUAUUCCCUUCUACAAGCACAUCAGCAAGGCAUACCUGGUGUUUUCUCAACUGAUUUCCCAGCAAAUCCUCCUGUAAAAUUUGAUUACACCGGUAAUGUAAGCCGAUCACUAUGGCAACCUACUCGAGGAACGAAACUAUACAAGUUGAAAUAUGGGGCAAGAGUGCAAGUUGUGUUACAGGGGACAAGUAUCUUCACUGCUGAAAACCAUCCAAUUCAUCUUCACGGAUAUGAUUUUUACAUCAUUGCAGAGGGUUUUGGUAACUUUAAUCCAAAAACAGAUACAGCUAAAUUCAACCUUGUUGAUCCACCUCUCAGAAACACGGCCAGUGUACCCGUCAAAGGAUGGGCGGUCAUCAGAUUUGUCGCAGACAAUCCAGGUAAUAGAAUAUAAAGGGAAACAACUACAUACUCAUUUCUCUAACAUUUCAAACUCUUGUCUAUACAAUGUUUACAAUUCGAACCAGUGACGGAAGUAGGAUUUUCACUAAGGGGAUUCAAAAAAUUUUAAAAAAAAACACGCGAUUAAUCUAAGGGGAUUCAACAUCUAAUAUAUAUACAUGAAAAAAAAAAACCUUAUAUAUACAGUGUAAUUUUCGGGGAAGGGGGUUUGGCUGAGCCCCCUUCCGCCUACCUAGCUCCGUCCCCUGAAUUCGACUUACAAUAUUAUCUUUUAAACAGGAGUUUGGCUAAUGCAUUGUCACCUGGAUGUUCACAUUGGCUGGGGUUUGGCAAUGGCGUUCAUCGUCGAAAAUGGAGUUACUCAAUUGGAAUCAUUGGAGGCUCCUCCAGUAGAUUUGCCUGUCUGUUAACAACUGCAACAAGGACAACAUAAUACAAAAUUCAGAGCCCUAGAGAAAUCAAUUAGCCAUUCUAAAUGAUGUUUCCCCACUAUGGGGCUAGUUCUUUUCUUGAUCUCCUAGAGUUUGUUUGUUGGUUUUUUUUAAUUGAUGACUGGGACAAGAUGGUGCCAAAAGUUGUAACUGAGUUCACCAUCUGUCCUAGGAUUAGGACAGCAUUAUUCUCAGAUUAAAGCAGUUGUAUUGUUUGGUGUGAAAUUAACAGAGAAGAAAUAUUUGAGUUUUGAACUAUACUGCAAUUACAAACUACCUAUUCUAAAAACUAAUUUGGCAUGAACCUUUGAAUCUCACACCGCCUACAACAACAACAACAACAUUUCCGGUGUAAUCCCACUUGGGGUUUGGGAAAGGUAGCGUAUAUGCAGUCGGAAGUGUAUGCGCACACCAUACUCCUACCUGGAGAAGUUGUUUCCAACAGAAACUCGGUGAAAGCAAAAAUACGGUAGAAGUACAACAUAAGACAAAAAGGCAAUCAUCAGCAGUAAAAAUUGCUCCUUACUAGCAUAAUUUGGACUAAGACAGAUCGAUCUUUUAAGAAAUUAUGGAUAUAUAGAGGAUGAUACCAAGCAAUAGCAUUAAAAUUAAACAAACAAAGAAAUCUGCGGGUCAGUAGAUUAGCAGGGGCGGGUGU
rnacentral:lncRNA from 1 species